AGCAUCGUGGUGUAGUGGUUUGAAUGUUGGACUGUGACUCUGGAGACCAGGGUUUGAUUCCCUGCUUGACUA